rnacentral:rRNA from 1 species
GGAUGACACUUUUCGGAGCGUAAACUCCUUUUGUUAGGGAAGAACAAUGACGGUACCUAACGAAUAAGCACCGGCUAACUCCGUGCCAGCAGCCGCGGUAAUACGGAGGGUGCAAGCGUUACUCGGAAUCACUGGGCGUAAAGGACGCGUAGGCGGAUUAUCAAGUCUUUUGUGAAAUCUAAUGGCUUAACCAUUAAACUGCUUGGGAAACUGAUAAUCUAGAGUAGGGGAGAGGUGAAUGGAAUUCUUGGUGUAGGGGUAAAAUCCGUAGAGAUCAAGAAGAAUACCCAUUGCGAAGGCGAUUCACUGGAACUUAACUGACGCUAAGGCGUGAAAGCGUGGGGGGCAAACAGGAUUAGAUACCCUGGUAGUCCACGCCCUAAACGAUGUAUACUAGUUGUUGCUUUGCUAGUCAAGGCAGUAAUGCACCUAACGGAUUAAGUAUACCGCCUGGGGAGUACGGUCGCAAGAUUAAAACUCAAAGGAAUAGACGGGGACCCGCACAAGCGGUGGAGCAUGUGGUUUAAUUCGAAGAUACGCGAAGAACCUUACCUAGGCUUGAUAUCCAACAAAUCUCUUAGAGAUAAGAGAGUGCUAGCUUGCUAGAAUGUUGAGACAGGUGCUGCACGGCUGUCGUCAGCUCGUGUCGUGAGAUGUUGGGUUAAGUCCCGCAACGAGCGCAACCCACGUCAUUAGUUGCUAACGGUUAGGCCGAGCACUCUAAAUAGACUGCCUUCGUAAGGAGGAGGAAGGUGUGGACGACGUCAAGUCAUCAUGGCCCUUAUGCCCAGGGCGACACACGUGCUACAAUG